rnacentral:lncRNA from 1 species
CUUGAUUGAAAUAUCUGUUUUCCUUUCAGCUUGUAAAUUUUAGAUCUACCCAGAUACCUUAUCCUUAUUUCUACACAUUAGGAAAUUAUAAAUUAGCAUUCUUUUUCUAUAUAAAUGCAAAGCUAUUAGCAUAGUCAUAAUUAUGGAAUACAUGAUAGAGUUUGUUAAAGUCUUUUCAGUUCUGACUCCUUUUCAGUUAUUCCUUGAACUAUGUUCUUUGCAGAGAACCUUUUGGGCGAUAUUGCCUCUCCUUUAUUAAAAUCACAGCUGAAACAUUUAUCGUGUCAUUACAACCUGCAAUUCACAUGUGAAAUACCCUCUUGAUUCUGCAGUGAUUCUCUCUUGAGGUAUGGUAUAUGGCUGUUAUGCCACAUUUCUAAUCUGUACGUGGAGAGUAACUGACAGAUUGGAAUGCCUGCAUUUAAACUGGCUCGUGUAUUCAGCAUUCACUAGGAAGGUACCUGGGAGGAAAUCCACCUUGGAACCAAGAUAUUCCCAUCGUCAUAUCUUAAGAGUAGUCAGAGUCGAUGACAAAGGCUUGGAAAUCCCAUCGAUAGAAAUGUCAGACUGUGAAAGAGAACAAAUAUUUAAAGGACAAAAAGGCAAACAUGUGUCCCACCUUCUAGAGACGAUCGCUGAACGUAGCGUGAGCUCUUAAUCAAUGAAGAGAUGGCCAUCUGUAUCUCAGGACAGGACUCUUGUCAUCCUCUGUGAGGGUUUAUUUAAUUGUCUGACUAGAUAGAGACAAACUGGGCUGCCCGGCCACCUCCAAGAUACCUAAUGAA